rnacentral:rRNA from 1 species
CAAUAGCGUAUAUUAUUGAUGUUGCAGUUGAAACGUUCGUAGUCGGAUUUAAUUUGCUGCAGUACUUUUUCAUUGCUGAUGAUUUUGUGCUUGCCGCAGAUAUUUUGCAAGAGGAACUUGUUUUCCACAAGCUCGCCUUUUGCACUUUACUUUGAGUGAAUCGGCGUGCUUCACGCAGGCAAUCGCCUUGAACGAUUUACCAUUGUCUAACCAGAAUGUGAAAAGCUUCCUUGUCGCUUCGGAGCGUUUUCUACACUGAUAGGAACGGUUGAGGGCAUUCGUAUUCGACUGCUAGAGGUGAAAUUCUUUGAUUAGUCGAGGAUGAACUACCGCGAAAGCUUCUGCCAAAGACGUUUCCUUUGA